AGGUUGAGUAGGUCUUCCCGCUACUUUAUCACCUACUUUGAUUUCACGUUACCAGUUCACGGACAUGAUUGUGAUUGUGUGUCUAUUUUUUUAUUUGUAUUUGCAAAGUUGAUAAGAAUAAAUACCAGAUGAUUCAGAUUCUUCUACCUCCAAAACUCGACUUCAGUGUGUUUUUCUGCUCUAAUUAGUCUCUUUGUAUUAUUAACCAAUAACCAUAUUCUUUCUUUCUUUUUCUAUGCAAGCUGAAAAAUUAACUACAUAAGUCGCAAGUCCUGUUCACCUUUGAUUACAAGUUUCAGCAGCUAAAGCAGAAAAGAGGAAGAAGAAACGCCAGUCGGGAAAGAAGAAGAUAAAAACAAUGUCGUUUUAGCCAAAAAAAACUUUUUUUUUGUUUCUCAAAACGACGUCGUUUUUUACGUGGCCUCCACGUAAUCAGCCGUUAACAGUCUCUUAACAUCGUUAUACAUUGUGUAUGUUUAAACACUGUUUUACAAGUUGGAUAGUGAAUUUGAAUUUUAUUGAACUUAUUGUAUGAAUUUGCUCAAUAUUAAAGCUAGAGCAGGAAUUCAACAUACUCCAUUAACUGGGGUAUGAAAUUAUCGAUUU